AUUGAACGCUGGCGGCAGGCCUAACACAUGCAAGUCGAGUGAGCGGCGGACGGGUGAGUAAUUUAUGGGGACUGCCCGAAAGAGGGGGAUAACUACUGGCAAUGGUGGCUAAUACCGCAUACUAUCGGAUAACCCAUAUGGGAUUAGCUAGUAGGUGGGGUAAAGGCUCACAUAGGCGACGAGAUCGAGCUGGUCUGAGAGGAUGAUCAGCAACACGGGGACGGAGACACGUCGCAGAAGCCUACGGAGACAGGAGUGGGGAGUAGUGCACAAUGGGCGCAAUGCGGAAGCAGCCAGGCCGCGAGAAUGAAGAAGGCCUUAGGGUUGUAAAGUACUUUAAGCGGGGAGGCGUUACCCGCAGAAGAAGCACAGGCUAACUCCGUGCCAGCAGCCGCGGUAAUAC
rnacentral:rRNA from 1 species